GACGAGCCUCACAAACGUUAUUCGGAAUUACUGGGCUUAAAGGGUGCGUAGGCGGCGCGGAAAGUUGGGUGUGAAAUCCCUCGGCUCAACCGAGGAAUUGCGCUCAAAACUACCGUGCUCGAGGGAGAUAGAGGAGUGCGGAACUUAGGGUGGAGCGGUGAAAUGCGUUGAUAUCCUAGGGAACACCGGUGGCGAAAGCGGCACUCUGGAUCUCUUCUGACGCUGAUGCACGAAAGCUAGGGUAGCAAACGGG
rnacentral:rRNA from 1 species